AGGAUGAACGCUGGCGGCGUGCCUAAUACAUGCAAGUCGUGCGGUAACAUGCCCUUCGGGGUGAUGACGAGCGGCGGACGGCUGAGUAACGCGUAGGAACGUGCCCCAAAGUGAGGAAUAAGCUCCAGAAAUGGAGUCUAAUGCCGCAUAUGAUCUUCGGAUUAAAGCUUUCGAGCGCUUUGGGAGCGGCCUGCGUACGAUUAGAUAGUUGGUGAGGUAAAGGCUCACCAAGUCUACGAUCGUUAGCUGGUCUGAGAGGAUGAUCAGCCAGACUGGAACUGAGACACGGUCCAGACUCCUACGGGAGGCAGCAGUAAGGAAUCUUCCACAAUGGGGGCAACCCUGAUGGAGCAACGCCGCGUGCAGGAUGAAGGCCCUAGGUCGUAAACUGCUUUUAUGAGUGAAGAAUAUGACGGUAACUCAAUGAAUAAGGUCGCUAACUACGUGCCAGCAGCCGC
rnacentral:rRNA from 1 species